GUCUAUGGCCAUGCCAUCCUGAACAAGCUGAAUGUCUGAUCUCAGAAGCUAAGCAGGGUCGAAUCUGGUUAGUACUUGGAUGGGAGACCACCUAGGAAGACCCGGUGCUGUAGGCA
rnacentral:rRNA from 1 species